rnacentral:rRNA from 1 species
UGGGGGAAUAUUGCACAAUGGGCGCAAGCCUGAUGCAGCGAUGCCGCGUGAGGGAAGAAGGUUUUCGGAUUGUAAACCUCUGUCAUCAGGGACGAAAAAAGACGGUACCUGAGAAGGAAGCUCCGGCUAACUACGUGCCAGCAGCCGCGGUAAUACGUAGGUGGCAAGCGUUAUCCGGAUUUACUGGGUGUAAAGGGCGCGUAGGCGGGGAUGCAAGUCAGAUGUGAAAUCUAUGGGCUUAACCCAUAAACUGCAUUUGAAACUGUAUCUCUUGAGUGCUGGAGAGGUAGAUGGAAUUCCUUGUGUAGCGGUGAAAUGCGUAGAUAUAAGGAAGACACCAGUGCGAAGGCGAUCUACUGGACAGUAACUGACGCUGAGGCGCGAG